CCUACGGGUGGCAGCAGUGGGGAAUAUUGCACAAUGGGGGAAACCCUGAUGCAGCGACGCCGCGUGGGUGAAGAAGGGUUUCGGUAUGUAAAGCUCUAUCGGCAGGGAAGAAAUAUCGACCUCUGGUUCCCCAGACGGUACCUAAUUAAGAAUCUGCGGCCAACUACGUGCCAGCAGCCGCGGUAAUAUGGAGGGGGCAAGGGUUAUCCGGGGUUACUGGGUGUAAAGGGAGCGUAGACGGCAACGCAAGUGUGAAGUGAAAAGCCGGGGCGUAACCCCGGAACUGCUUUUGAAACUGUGGGGCUAGAGUACAGGAGAGGUAAGUGGAAUUCCUAGUGUAGCGGUGAAAUGCAUAGAUAUCACGCAGAACACCGAUUGCGAAGGCGGCAUACCGGACAUCAACUGACGCUGAGGCACGAAAGUGUGGGGAGCGAACAGGAUUAGAUACCCUUGUAGUC
rnacentral:rRNA from 1 species